AGAGUUUGAUCCUGGCUCAGGAUGAACGCUGGCGGCGUGCUUAACACAUGCAAGUCGAGCGAAGCAAUUUAAGUGAAGUUUUCGGAUGGAUCUUAAAUUGACUGAGCGGCGGACGGGUGAGUAACGCGUGGAUAACCUGCCUCACACAGGGGGAUAACAGUUAGAAAUGACUGCUAAUACCGCAUAAGCGCACGGUACCGCAUGGUACAGUGUGAAAAACUCCGGUGGUGUGAGAUGGAUCCGCGUCUGAUUAGGUAGUUGGUGAGGUAACGGCCCACCAAGCCGACGAUCAGUAGCCGACCUGAGAGGGUGACCGGCCACAUUGGGACUGAGACACGGCCCAAACUCCUACGGGAGGCAGCAGUGGGGAAUAUUGCACAAUGGGCGAAAGCCUGAUGCAGCAACGCCGCGUGAGUGAAGAAGUAUCUCGGUAUGUAAAGCUCUAUCAGCAGGGAAGAAAAUGACGGUACCUGACUAAGAAGCCCCGGCUAACUACGUGCCAGCAGCCGCGGUAAUACGUAGGGGGCAAGCGUUAUCCGGAUUUACUGGGUGUAAAGGGAGCGCAGACGGCACUGCAAGUCUGAAGUGAAAGCCCGGGGCUCAACCCCGGGACUGCUUUGGAAACUGUAGAGCUAGAGUGCUGGAGAGGCAAGCGGAAUUCCUAGUGUAGCGGUGAAAUGCGUAGAUAUUAGGAAGAACACCAGUGGCGAAGGCGGCUUGCUGGACAGUAACUGACGUUCAGGCUCGAAAGCGUGGGGAGCAAACAGGAUUAGAUACCCUGGUAGUCCACGCCGUAAACG
rnacentral:rRNA from 1 species